GUUGGUCUGUGUCCAUUGAAUUGGCAAGUACCUAGCAUCUUCGAGCAGGGAACCAUGGCACCCUUUUAGCAUGUGUUCCACUUUAUCCAUUAACAUCGACUUGUAGUCAUAACAUUUUAACAUAUUACAUUAUGUAAACCAUAUAUGAUGAUGUUAACACUAUUUACAGUGUGCUAGUUUCAAAAUACUCGGCAGGAUGCACUGAAGAUGUUCUGUUUAGAACGAAAACGUUCUGCAAUAGAUGACAUUUUAUAGUUUUAAAUAAACGAUUUUAUACCAGAAUACAUCUCGAAGUUUUUACUUCUGUAUUGGUUUGUAAUAAAAUAUACCAAUAAAAUAAUUUUUGAUAAGAA